GACAGAGGGUGCGAACGUUGCUCGGAAUAACUGGGCGUAAAGCGCGUGUAGGCGGCUCGGCACGUCCGGUGUGAAAGCCCGGGGCUCAACCCCGGAAGGGCGCUGGAUACGACGGAGCUGGAGUCCUGAAGAGGCGAGCGGAAUUCCCGGUGUAGAGGUGAAAUUCGUAGAUAUCGGGAGGAACACCAGUGGCGUAGGCGGCUCGCUGGGCAGAGACUGACGCUGAGACGCGAAAGCGUGGGGAGCAAACAGG
rnacentral:rRNA from 1 species